rnacentral:misc_RNA from 1 species
AAAAAAUAUGUACGUCCGCCUUCGUAAACUGGGCUAAUUCUCAUUAACGCGUAAAAGUAGAAAAUUUUAGGGUGUAGAAAAUUUCUAUAUCGUCAAUAAGAAACGGUACAAAAUGCGACACAAUGUGAAGAAAGCCAACUGUUUCUAUACCUGUUCCGGAAGGGAGAAAUUCUUUGACUCUUGGCUCACCGUUCGUAAUACCUACGUCGAGAUAUAGUUUUGGGAAGUGGGCAACACCUUUUACUACCUGUUGCCGAGCUAUCUCGCCGUCUGUAGGUCGCCUCGAUUCGCUACCAGCUAAAUUAUCCGUGAGGUCCGUUCAGAAGCAGGU